GCUGAAGAACGUAGCGAAAUGCGAUAAGUAGUGUGAAUUGCAGAAUUCAGUGAAUCAUCGAAUCUUUGAACGCACAUUGCGCCCCUUGGUAUUCCAUGGGGCAUGCCUGUUCGAGCGUCAUUUGUACCUUCAAGCUCUGCUUGGUGUUGGGUGUUUGUCUCGCCUCUGCGUGUAGACUCGCCUCAAAACAAUUGGCAGCCGGCGUAUUGAUUUCGGAGCGCAGUACAUCUCGCGCUUUGCACUCAUAACGACGACGUCCAAAAGUACAUUUUUACACUCUUGACCUCGGAUCAGGUAGGGAUACCCGCUGAACUUAAGCAUAUCAAUAAGCGGAGGA
rnacentral:misc_RNA from 1 species